rnacentral:rRNA from 1 species
CCUACGGGUGACAGCAGUGGGGGAUAUUGCACAAUGGGGGGAACCCUGAUGCAGCGACGCCGCGUGGGUGAAGGAGCGUUUCGGCGCGUAAAGCCCUAUCGGCAGGGAAGAAGAUGACGGUACCUGACCAAGAAGCCCCGGCUAACUACGUGCCAGCAGCCGCGGUAAUACGUAUGGAGCAAGCGUUAUCCGGAUUUACUGGGUGUAAAGGGAGCGCAGACGGCAGGGCAAGUCUGAUGUGAAAGUCCGGGGCUCAACCCCGGGACUGCAUUGGAAACUGUCCGGCUAGAGUGCAGGAGAGGUAAGUGGAAUUCCUAGUGUAGCGGUGAAAUGCGUAGAUAUUAGGAGGAACACCAGUGGCGAAGGCGGCUUACUGGACUGUAACUGACGUUGAGGCUCGAAAGCGUGGGGAGCAAACAGGAUUAGAUACCCCGGUAUC